GAGAGCUGUUUUAUUCUUCAGUACUUAUUUUCUAUUAGUUUUUCCCCUGAGGGUUUAAUUGUGCCAUAUCUUUCAGUUACUUGGUCAUUUUGAUUCGGAUAGCACACUGGCCACAACAAUGUCGGAUUUGCGGUAUAGGAUUCUUCCUCCAAGUUUUCUUUCAGAAAAUCCCAAGGAAGCUGGAUUCUGUCUAUGGCUACUUCAUCCCGAACCAUCAUCACGCCCAACAACAAGGUCUAAAUUCUUGUCUGUGAUAAUUUUGAAGAUGGGAAAUAGUAGCUGUCUCAGAUGAGAUGAGAUGUGUAUAUUAUUUUAAAAAAACUCUUAAGAUUUGCUAAAGCAUAUUGCCUUGGUGAAUAUUCUUGAUGUAUUAGAAAAUAAUUUUGAUUGAUAAUAUUACUAAAUUCCUUUUCUGUGAUAUGAGCUUCUGAAAUGGCUUUGUUAACAAUUAGGCUAUGGUAAUUUGUAGGAUACUAGAAUCCUCAUAAGUUGGUUCCUCAUCUCUGAGUAUUGUGAUCUGAUAAAUCGUCAAAAUUUGCAUCACAUAUAUAGAUGACUCUUUGUAGAAUAUGACUAUAUGAGAACUAACUUUUUUAUACCCACCAAUCCCCAAUUCCAUAACAUGGUGAAUGUCAAUAUGUGCUUUCUGGUUGCUACUAAAAGUAAACUAUACUCUCAAGUCCAUUAAGGAUAUAUUUCAGGUGUGCAACAAUUAGUCCUCUAUUUCGGAAACGAGGAAGAAGGUGAGAGAUGAAAAUCAAAAUCAUCUUCAACCAUUCUAUGCCUGACUUAUGAAAUUAAAGCUUCAAUCGACUUGAUUUUCAAUCGAUAACGAUGAGUCGACGACAAGUGAACGAUUUUAGAUGAACGAGACCAGCACAUUCGCCCAAAUUAAAGAUUCAAUCGACUUGAUUUUCAAUCGUUAACGAUGAGUCGACUUGAUUUUCUGCUCUAACUGCGCCAAGUGUUGCCCAAAGCUUGUUGCAGGCACUCCAGUCCCAUGGAUAGGUGUUGUUAUGUGUACAUAUCCCUAUGAUCCAACAGUGGCUCUGGGGUAUCUGUCUCUUCCUCAAUAGCGCAAUUGUGAUGGAUGUUAGUUGUGGAUUUGGCAUACUAAGGUUUCUCAUGGUGCUACAAUUUACAAUAUGAAGAACUAUGGAAAGUCAUUAUCCACUAGAAAGAGCGCAGAGAAGUUUGCAAGUUCUGAUGCAAUUUCGGUAAGUUGCCACUUACUUGCACUAUUCGAGUUCUUCCUGAGGUAUUUCUUUCUUAUUAUGAUUUUCAUUGAAGAGUUAUUGAUUUUCCCUGUGGUGAUUGGUCUGAUUUUUUAUAAAUAAUUUGUUAAAAUAAAAAAUGCAUAGUUGAUAGAAUUUUAUAUUUGAGUUAUAGAUUGGU